ACGUUUUCACCUUCGGGAGGACAGGGAGACAGGUGGUGCAUGGUUGUCGUCAGCUCGUGUCGUGAGAUGUUGGGUUAAAGUCCCGCAACGAGCGCAACCCCUACGUUUAGUUGCUAACGCGUGAAGGCGAGCACUCUAGACGAACUGCCGUUGACAAAACGGAGGAAGGUGGGGAUGACGUCAAAUCAUCAUGCCCCUUAUGUUCUGGGCUACACACGUGCUACAAUGGCCGGUACAGACGGACGCAAAGCCGCGAGGUGGAGCAAAUCCUAAAAAGCCGGUCUCAGUUCGGAUUGCAGGCUGCAAUUCGCCUGCAUGAAGUCGGAAUCGCUAGUAAUCGCAGGUCAGCAUACUGCGGUGAAUACGUUCCCGGGCCUU
rnacentral:rRNA from 1 species